rnacentral:rRNA from 1 species
GACGAACGCUGGCGGCGUGCUUAACACAUGCAAGUCGAACGGAAAGGCCCUGCUUUUGUUGGUUGCUCGAUUGGCGAACGGGUGAGUAACACGUGAGUAACCUGCCCUUGACUUUGGGAUAACUUCAGGAAACUGGGGCGAAUACCGGAUAGGAGCUCCUGCUGCAUGUGGGGGGUUGGAAAGUUUCGGCGGUUGGGUAUGGACUCGCGGCUUAUCAGCUUGUUGGUGGGGUAGUGGCUUACCAAGGCUUUGACGGGUAGCCGGCCUGAGAGGGUGACCGGCCACAUUGGGACUGAGAUACGGCCCAGACUCCUACGGGAGGCAGCAGUCGGGAAUAUUGCACAAUGGGCGGAAGCCUGAUGCAGCAACGCCGCGUGCGGGAUGACGGCCUUCGGGUUGUAAACCGCUUUCGCCUGUGACGAAGCGUGAGUGACGGUAAUGGGUAAAGAAGCACCGGCUAACUACGUG